AGGGCCACUAAAUCUGCCUUACACAUGCAGUCGAACGGUAGCACAGAGAGCUUGCUCUCGGGUGACGAGUGGCGGACGGGUGAGUAAUGUCUGGGAAACUGCCUGAUGGAGGGGGAUAACUACUGGAAACGGUAGCUAAUACCGCAUAACGUCGCAAGACCAAAGAGGGGGACCUUCGGGCCUCUUGCCAUCAGAUGUGCCCAGAUGGGAUUAGCUAGUAGGUGGGGUAACGGCUCACCUAGGCGACGAUCCCUAGCUGGUCUGAGAGGAUGACCAGCCACACUGGAACUGAGACACGGUCCAGACUCCUACGGGAGGCAGCAGUGGGGAAUAUUGCACAAUGGGCGCAAGCCUGAUGCAGCCAUGCCGCGUGUAUGAAGAAGGCCUUCGGGUUGUAAAGUACUUUCAGCGGGGAGGAAGGUGUUGUGGUUUAUAACCUCAUCAAUUGACGUUA
rnacentral:rRNA from 1 species